rnacentral:rRNA from 1 species
UACAGAGGUCUCGAGCGUUGUUCGGAUUUAUUGGGCGUAAAGGGUGCGUAGGCGGUGUGGCAAGUCAAGUGUGAAAUCUCGGAGCUCAACUUCGAAACUGCACUUGAUACUACUAUGCUAGAGGGUUGUAGAGGAGACCGGAAUUCACGGUGUAGCAGUGAAAUGCGUAGAUAUCGUGAGGAAGACCAGUUGCGAAAGCGGGUCUCUGGGACGGUACUGACGCUGAGACGCGAAAGCGUGGGGAGCGAACAGG